AUUAAGAAAUCCUUUAACAUCAUACAGGAGCACCUGAGAAGGAUAAUCUUUCUUUACGAUACUUUAGGCUAGUUUAUAUUCUUGUUCUUCGGUGUUCAAGUUAACAUUUGAACAUGUUAAAGAGAUAAAAUUGCAUGAAUUUAAUCUAUAUUGUUCAGGUAUUAAAGUCGACUAAUGUGUUAUACUUAUUUUUUUAUCAACAUUUAUUACAUUUUAUCUCUCGAAACACUCUAUAAAUCCCUUUUUACUGUAAUGACAAGAAUAAAACAAUUCAUCCGUGUGAGUUACAAUCUGAAAUCUUUGCAGCGCGGAACAGCAAGCAGAGCGGAGGAGGGCGCCCUCGACGCCACUAGAUGGCGGAAGAGAACGAGCUGCGCCCAGACCCCGGAGAUGGCUUCUGCUAGCAACAUAGAUUUUUAAGUCAGAACGCACCUCGAUGGAAUUGUUUCAUCAUCAUCAGCAUUUCCAGGAUCACAUCAUCUGAUCCCCCACUGCGUUCAGAGUCUGAUGUUAGGGUGAGUGGGGGUGGGAGGCAAUAGUGGGUGCAUUCAUUGGCCCUUGAGGAAGUUAGGUCGAACAUUUUUAAAGGUGAAGCCAUGAAUCGAGUAAUCUAAACACUACUUUUUUUUUUUUUUUUUGAAUCUAAGCACUUACUCGAAAAGAGAUUCAUCCGAGAGGGGAAUAAUUAGGUUUACAAGGCAAAUGAGAGCAUUAACGGAAUCCUCAUUUUAAAGACCUGUAGCAAGGAAAUGUUGAAGGAACCUUGGGGAUAAUACCUUGAAUUCAAUCCCCUGAUUUUACAGCUUUUAAGUGGAAGUACAUUUCCCACAAGGAAGACGAAGUUUUAGGUGGCAAAACAGAGUUUCACAAAAAGCCUUCAUGUCAAGAAUUGGACUGUGAAUAGCUUGCUUGCCACAAUUGUUGUUGUUGUUGUUAUUUGUUUUUUCUUAAGACAAUGACUAUUUCUUUAAUAAUAGAUAGGUAAAUAAAACAAACAUGCACUGGC